rnacentral:tRNA from 1 species
AGGCCAGUAGCUCUAAUGGUUAGAGCGCCGGUCUCCAAAACCGGUGGUUGGGGGUUCGAAUCCCUCCUGGCCUGCCA